GCAUUACCAAUCAUAUGGGGA
rnacentral:misc_RNA from 1 species